rnacentral:rRNA from 1 species
GCGGGCACGUUAAACGGACCGAGGGCCACGCCCCGGCCACACGGUCCUCAGCGUCCGUGUUGGUUUACCACCUGAGCACAACUGUCGCUUUUGAAACGAAAAUUUACAACCAGUAGCACUGGAUCCCUUGGCACGUCAUUCGAUGAAGAACGUAGCAAUCUGCGAUAAGUGGUGUGAUAUGCAAGUCCACAGCUUAUACGUGAACCAUCGAAUCUUUGAACGCACUGCACUAUCCGGACGACACCCCCGUGAUAGUAUGCCCCAUUGAGCGUUAUUUGUUCGUUCGGACGUCACCUUUGCCGGUGGCGGACGAGUUCGAGGUUCACACCCUUCCCGGUGCGCUCCUUGAGAUGCAUUAAGGGGCCGUCAAACGGUCAAUCCCAUCCCGCACUGUGAUGAUUUUGCAGUUCGCGUGUGGCGGCGAUCGUCGUGCGGCCUCUGACAACCGCCGCAAGGCAAACCCGGUGCCGUCGGAGCUCCUCCGUCGCGCCCACCCUUCGUACAUAACCUCAGUGGGGUAGGACAACCCGCUAGACUUAAGCAUAUUAAUCAGCGGAGGAAAAGAAACUAACAAGGAUUCCCCCAGUAACUGCGAGUGAAGAGGGAACGGCUCAACGUGUGAAUCUGGCCGGGAGUAACCCUCGGUCCAGAGUUGUGCACUGUAGACGUCGGUUUCUGCGCUUGAAUUCCAGUUGUCAGUCCCAAGUCGGAUGAAACACCGCGUCACAGAAGGUCAUAGCCCUGUGUCUGACUGUGCUUGAAUUUGCGCCAAUGACCGCACGUUCGUCGAGUCGCGUAGUUUUGUAAUGCUGCGCCAAUUGGGAGGUGGAACCCUUCUAAAGCUAAAUAUGAUGACGUGACCGAUAGCAAACAAGUACCGCGAGGGAAAGGUGAAAAGCAACCAUGUAGAAUGCGUUGAAACAGCAGUGAAAGUGCUACUGGGAUAAGGGCUAUCGACUGCUGGUCUCUUGGCGGCGUGCUUCAGUGCUGCCCCGGGAGCGGCUCGCGCCGAUUGGAAACGGGAGAUGCGCUUGGGGUUGAAUUCGGCCAAUGGCUUGCCAUCGGUGUUGUAGCUCCCCAAAGACUUGAGCCCGA